UACGGGGGGGCAAGCGUUGUUCGGAAUUACUGGGCGUAAAGGGCUCGUAGGCGGCCAACUAAGUCGGAUGUGAAAUCCCCAGGCUUAACCUGGGAACUGCAUCCGAUACUGGAUGGCUUGAAUUCGGGAGAGGGAUGCAGAAUUCCAGGUGUAGCGGUGAAAUGCGUAGAUAUCGGGAGGAACACCAAUGGCGAAGGCAGCUCGCUGGGACGGUACUGACGCUGAGACGCGAAAGCGUGGGGAGCAAACAGG
rnacentral:rRNA from 1 species